rfam:Sorghum bicolor cultivar BTx623 chromosome 10, whole genome shotgun sequence.
GUAGCCGGAUUCACAUCAAUUCAUAUGUAUUGAGGUGGAUUGGAGUAAAACUUGAACUAAAUUCCACUCCAAUCCACGUCAAUACACAUGGAUUGAAGUGAAUACGACA